AACAGUGUGGCGUAGUGGCUUGAGUGUUGGACUACAACUUUGGAGCCCAGGGUUCAAUUCCCAGCUCUGCCA
rnacentral:tRNA from 1 species